rnacentral:rRNA from 1 species
CAGUCGCCGCGGGAAUACGUAGGUGGCAAGCGUUGUCCGGAAUUAUUGGGCGUAAAGCGCGCGCAGGUGGAUUAAUAAGUCUGAUGUGAAAGCCCACGGCUCAACCGUGGAGGGUCAUUGGGAACUGUUAAACUUGAGUGCAGGAGAGAAAAGUGGAAUUCCUAGUGUAGCGGUGAAAUGCGUAGAGAUCGGAAAGAACACCAACGGCGAAAGCACUCUGCUGGGCCGACACUGACACUGAGAGACGAAAGCUAGGGGAGCAAAUGGGAUUAGAUACCCGAGUAGCCUGUCUCUUAUACAC